ACGGCGCACGGGUGCGUAAAAGUGGGUAAUCUGCCCUUCGAUGGGGAAUAACUCCGGGAAACCGAAGCUAAUUCCGCAUAACAUUCCUUGAACUUCGGUUUGGGGAUUCAAAGCCGUAAGGCGUCGGAGGAGGAACCCGCGCACGAUUAGCUAGUUGGUAGGGUAACGGCCUACCAAGGCUUUGAUCGUUAGCUGGUCUGAGAGGAUGGCCAGCCACACUGGAACUGAGACACGGUCCAGACUCCUACGGGAGGCAGCAGUGGGGAAUCUUGCACAAUGGGCGAAAGCCUGAUGCAGCGACGCCGCGUGGGGGAUGAAGCUUUUCGGAGUGUAAACCCCUUUCGACCCGGACGAAUACCCUGCAAAGGGGGUGACGGUACGGGUAUAAGAAGCCCCGGCUAACUACGUGCCAGCAGCCGCGGUAAGACGUGGGGGGCCAGCGUUGUUCGGAAUUACUGGGUGUAAAGGGUCAGUAGGCGGUGUGGCAAGUCGGGAGUGAAAUCUCUGGGCUCAACCCUGAGACUGCUUCCGA
rnacentral:rRNA from 1 species